rnacentral:rRNA from 1 species
UGGAGUAUGUGGUUUAAUUCGAUGCAACGCGAAGAACCUUACCUGGUCUUGACAUCCCGGAGACCCUUAGGAACAGGGGUGCUUCCAUCUGGAGAAUCUGGAGACAGGUGCUGCAUGGCUGUCGUCAGCUCGUGUCGUGAGAUGUUGGGUUAAGUCCCGCAACGAGCGCAACCCUUGCCUUUAGUUGCCAGCAGUUCGGCUGGGCACUCUAAAGGGACUGCCGGUGUUAAACCGGAGGAAGGUGGGGAUGACGUCAAGUCCUCAUGGCCUUUAUGACCAGGGCUACACACGUACUACAAUGGCCGAUACAAAGGGCAGCGACACUGCGAGGUGAAGCCAAUCCCGUAAAAUCGGUCUCAGUCCGGAUUGGAGUCUGCAACUCGACUCCAUGAAGUUGGAAUCGCUAGUAAUCGUGGAUCAGCAUGCCACGGUGAAUACGUUCCCGGGCCUU